rnacentral:rRNA from 1 species
GACGAACGCUGGCGGCGUGCUUAACACAUGCAAGUCGAACGGACAGGCCCUGCUUUUGUGGGGUGCUCGAGUGGCGAACGGGUGAGUAACACGUGAGUAACCUGCCCUUGACUUUGGGAUAACUUCAGGAAACUGGGGCUAAUACCGGAUAGGAGCUCCUGCUGCAUGGUGGGGGUUGGAAAGUUUCGGCGGUUGGGGAUGGACUCGCGGCUUAUCAGCUUGUUGGUGGGGUAGUGGCUUACCAAGGCUUUGACGGGUAGCCGGCCUGAGAGGGUGACCGGCCACAUUGGGACUGAGAUACGGCCCAGACUCCUACGGGAGGCAGCAGUGGGGAAUAUUGCACAAUGGGCGGAAGCCUGAUGCAGCAACGCCGCGUGCGGGAUGACGGCCUUCGGGUUGUAAACCGCUUUCGCCUGGGACGAAGCGUGAGUGACGGUAAUGGGUAAAGAAGCACCGGCUAACUACGUG